CCGAGUUUAAUUUCCAUCAAAAUAGGUGGAAUUUCACAAUUCCAACAACGGAGAGAAUCCCAAAUCCAUCGGAUGGAAAUCUUGCAGGCGGCAAAUUUCAUGAUUAGGGCGCCAAACUGGGAUGAUUGGCGCCAAAGUUUACAAUAAAAAGGGCUUCACUCUGUUAUAACUCACCAAUCUUAGAAGGGACGCUCAUGCUUCAUCUUCUUCCUUCAUUCUAGGUCAGCCUCUUCUCUCUUCUCUCUUCUUUCUUGAAUUAUUACGGUUCGAAUUAUUAUAGUAUACUCUAUCUCUGCGUGUAGGUUCAAAUCAUCAAGUGUAUUAUGUUUAAUGAGUUCUGGUGAUACUUAUAUGCUUGGGUGUUUAUUAAUUGGGUAUAAAUAUUAGUUGCGUUGCUUCGUCUGCGAAUAUGUGGGCUAUUAUCAUGGAUGCAGGGACUUGCUUCACAGUUGUGAAUUUUGGUGAUACUCAUAUGUUUGGGUGUUUAUUAAUUUUUUUUUUUUCCAAUUGAAUUGUGUAUUGGGUCUAACCUUAUCUGGGAAACAACUCAAGUCAAGAAUCAGAUUAUAUUCGUCUUGUUAAUUAGUUGAAUUAUGACCGAACCUACAUUUAAAACGAAAACAGGUUUAUUCCGUUUGAACCUUAAAACUCUCCAUUUGAGAAGUUCUGCCUGUGCUUCUGACUUUGUUGUUAGCCCACUUUAAAAUAUCAGCAUCCGUCAUCUCCUUUCCUUGGGAGUGAGAUCGUAGAUUUCUCAAAAGUUGAAGCAUAUUAAACCUCAUCAACUACCAUAGGAACGCAGAAAAAAAGAUGAAAACAAACUUUAGUAUUUGAUAACAAAUUAGAUUUAGCACAUAACCAGUUACUCCAGUAGAUAUGUUAAGCUCAAAAGCUAAGGGCAAAUUACCAAGUAUAAGUUUCUUGUUUCCCUGCACUAUAUCAUUUCCAGCUAUGUUCACUAGUAAGAAUUCUUUGUUCAUAUAUUCAAACAGGUAUGGAACAUACUGAUGUUGUAGAGAUGCUAACGAGGUUAAAGCGAAAGCGUGCUAUAAAUGAAGAGGAAAAUAGGAAAAAGAGGAAAAUUAUUGUCGGUACGAUUAUAUAUGUUAUUGUCAUUGUCAUGCAUUGGUAUAGUAAAAGUGUUCUUCUUAAAGAACCUUCAAAUGAUUGGGAUCAAGAAAGACAAUCUUUCCUCGGCCGAUUGUUUAAUGGAAAAGAUUCAACUUGCAUUGAACAAUUACGAGUUAGCAAGAGUGCAUUUAAAUGGUUAUGUGAGAUUUUACAAGGGAUUGGUGGAUUAGUUCGCACUAGACAUGUGUCCAUUGAAGAAUCUGUUGCAAUUUUUUUGCAUAUACUUGCCCACAACUUGAAGUUUAGAGUUGUCGGUUUACACUAUUAUCGUUCCAAGGAAACAAUUAGUCGGCAAUUUCACAAUGUGUUGCAUGCAAUGAUGAAAAUAAGUCAAGCAUAUGUGAAAUAUCAACCAUGCGUUAUUGGUAAUUCUGAAAGAGAAAAGUGGCGGUGGUUUGAGGUAAUCAAUUAGCACUUAAACCAAAAAAAUUAUGUAUUUGUUUGAUAACUUCACUAUCUUUUUAGACUUUAAUCUUUUUUUCGUUGUAUGACAUUUUUAUUUAGAAUUAUCUUGGAGCACUUGAUGGAACUCUCAUUCCAGUAACAAUAACGGCUGAGGAAAGACCAAGAUAUAGAGAUAGAAAGGGUGAUAUAUUCACUAAUAUGUUAGGAGUUUGUGGUCCAGAUUUAAGAUUUUUUUAUGUGUUACCUGGAUGGGAAGGCUCUGCAUCUAAUGCGCGUGUUUUGCGUGAUGCUUUACAUAGGAGUAACCGGUUUCAUGUUCCAAAUGGUAAUGUGUGAUACCAAUUAGUUCUAUGUUAGAUAAACAAAACUUUAAAAUGUAUCUAAAUUUGUUCUCUAAAUUUUUAUUGUAGAUAAGUAUUAUCUUGUGGACGCUGGCUAUACUAAUGGACCGGGGUUUUUAGCACCUUACCGUGGAACUAGAUAUCACUUGAAAGAGUGGGUUGGAAACCGUCGACCUGAAAACUACAAAGAAUUAUAUAAUUUGCGUCAUUCAAGGGCAAGGAAUGUUAUUGAGAGGGCAUUUGGAUUGUUAAAAAAACGAUGGAGCAUAUUACGCACACCAUCCUUUUUUGAUAUUAAAACGCAAGUUAGGAUUAUAAAUGCAUGUUGUAUCUUGCAUAAUUUUAUUAGAACUGAGCAAGCAGCUGAUCUAGUUUUAGAAGCUCAAGAUUUACAAUUUUUAGCAUCUGUGGACUCAGAGUUGUUAAAUCGUUCAACAAGAGAGGACAAUGAAAAUAACUCUGAUGGGAUUACAUCUGUUCAAGCUACUGCCGAAUGGACAGCGUUUCGUGAUACAUUGGCAUUGCAGAUGUUCCAUGAUUACCAAGCUCAGAGAGCUGCAAAUACUUCUUAAUCGAAAAUUAGUUGUUUUUCUUAGCAUGUUAUCUUUAACGUCUCAGUUAAUAAUUUUGUCAAUGACAUUAUUGCUACGAAAUGCAUUAGCUUUUAAAUUUUAUGGAAUGCCCUGGUUUUCAGAUUUUAGUAUCAAGCUUGGUGUUGUUUAAAUGGUCAUCUUAUUUUUCUUUUCUGUUAGUAUUAGUUUAGUUUUGAACAUGUACAAAGACAGCUUGAAGCAUGUACAUUUUUUUUCUUAAAUGUGUUGAGAUUUAGAGAAUGACUUGAUAUUUGUGAUCUCCUUGGUAGAUACUCUGAUUCUUGAUAUGCAUGUGUUUACGAAUGACUUAAAAUUUCAAUUAAUAUUUGUUUAAUGUUAGGAGAAAUGGAAGGAUCUGACAGAAAACCAGUAUGCAAACAAAAACCAAGGAGAAAGAAAGAGAACCAAGAAAUUGAAAAUGAAGGAGAUGAGAAUAAUUAUUUUAGAUGGAAUGUAGAUAUGGAACGUGUUUUGGCUGACAUACUUCGCGAAGAACGAAGAUUGGGUAACAAAGGAGAUGGUGGUUGGAAGACAACUGCUUAUAAUUCUGCUGCAUCUAUAUUAUCUACUCAAUUUGAUAUUCAUGUAACUGCUGAUAACAUUCGAAACCGUGUGAAGUCUUGGAAAAAGUUCUAUGCAGUAGUGAGUGAUAUACUAAGUCAAAGUGGAUUUAAUUGGGAUGCAACCAAAAAGAUGAUAAGUGUAGAUGAAGAUCAUGCCUGGCAAGAUUACGUGAAGGUAUGAUAAAUUCAUUAUUUUUCUAUUCUGUGUGUGAUAUUCUUUUAACUCUUCUUAUACUUACAGUUUGCUUUUUGAUUUUUAUGUUUUGAUUGGUAGUCACAUAGUGGUGCUAAAAGUUUUCAUUGGAAGGUCAUUCCAAAUUGGGAUGAUAUAGUGGAUUUGUGCGGCAAAGAUAGAGCCACGGGUGAGGGUGCUGAAACAGGUGUGGAAGCUUUUGAGAUUAUGACUCCUCCGCAUAUUGAAACUAAUCAUAUUGAUUUGGAUGGUGAUACGCAAGGUUUAGAAGAUAUUGAAAUUAUUAAUGAUAUUUCACCUACUUCAGCCAAUGGUCAGAAGACUCAAAGCAAGAGAAAGCCAACAAAUUUUGUUGAUGUGCCUCAUACAAAGAAAAAACUAACCACCCCUAAAGAUAUGAUUGCAGAUUCACUUGCCAAGAUGGCUUCAUCCUUUCAAGACUAUAUUUGUGCAGACACAAAGAAGCUUGAUCCAACAGAGGUAUAUGAUGAAGUAAAUGCAAUACCAGAUCUCAGUGAAGAAGAACAAAUCAAAGCAUGUGCUUGGUUGAUCGAAAAUGACAAGCAAUUUCUCAUGUUGAAGACACUCCCAGUUGAGAAGAAAAAGAAUAUGGUAUUAUUGUUUACUUCACGAGGCGCAUAGGAUUAUUUUCAUUAUAUUUCCCAUUUUAGUGUUUUUCUGUAAGAUUUAAGUUAGAAUAAAAGCACUGCAUGUCAGGAAAGUUCAUUGACAUUUGCACGUGUGCUUUAUUGGGAUUUUUCUACUUCAAUCAACUUUAUCAUAUUAUUGCAGACUCAUCACAUUAUUGUAGCUAUUAAUUGUUGGAACAUUUACUUUGAUUAUAUUGUCUUAGUGAAUGCUAAUACUCUGAUUCUUGAUAUGCUAGUGAUAUGCUUGAUAGCUGUGAUUGAUUCUUUAGCAAGGAUGUUUACAUAAAUACUUUCAUUAGAUUGUGCUGUGAAUGCUAAUACUCUGGUUGGUCAACUCUACUUUCUGGUUGUUGGUUUUGACAUCUGCUUUCUGAUUUGUAGUCAUCUGCUUUCUGCUUUCUGGUUCAAAAGAUGUGGAAGAAAAUUUGGUGGUCUUUGUGUUAGGUAUAGGAUUAAAAAGAAUUUGGAAGUGAGAUGCUUAAUAGCAUUUGUGCUGCAUUAUCAACCUUGGUGUUGUUUAUUAGGUUGGUGAAAGUAAUAGUACAAAUAAUAUUGAACAUAGCAGUAACCUGUUUCCUUUCCCUUUUGAUAGUUGCUUAUACCAAGGUUAGGGAUAUAUGGAAUCAGCUCAGGAGUUGUUUGAGGGAGUGAUAGAUUUAUAUGGAAUCAGCUCGGGAGUCCUUUGCGUCUGUAGUUCUGUUUCCUUUUGAUAAUGCUCGCAACAUAUUAUGUUUCAAAUGGCCAUCUCCACAUAUAUGUAUCCUUUUCUAAUUUUUUUCUGCAAUCGAAUAAUCUGAUACGGUGAUUGGUGUAUUUCGUAUGAGGGAGUGAUAGAUUUAUAACCAUUUUAACUUUUGAUUCAAAUUUGUAUUCCUCUAUUUAAUACAAAUUCUAGAGAAUAUCCAAACAAUGAAAUUUGGAAUUCCUGUCAUUUUGUAAUUUCUAUGUAUCCAACAUCCAAACGAUGAAAUUCAUUUAACGGGAAUUUAAUUACUGUCAAUUGUAAUUCCCGUCAUUUAAAAUUCUGUGAUAAUUUAGAAAUUCUCCAUCCAAACAUAGUGUUACUUUCUCAUUUUAUUAGCCAAAUCUGCUUAGCCCUUUUUUGAACCUUUCAGUGUUACAAUGCCCAUAACGUCUUCUAGAAAAAUGAUAUUAACAAUCCGUAAAUUGGUCCAGAAAAUAGACAUCCGUAGCUGUCCAAGCAUAUAAGGCUCAUUCUCUCAUUCAUUCUGAGCUGUUCGUAGCAUGCUUCCAAAGUCAGCUAAUCUGCACAGGCAGUUUUGACGAAUUUGUU
rnacentral:lncRNA from 1 species